rnacentral:misc_RNA from 1 species
GGAGGAUCUCAGCGACCUUCAAGAGGAGUAUGAUGGUGGCCGAAAUCUCAAUGUACGUAUAUCAGUUUCUGAUAUAGAUUUAACUUCAAGGAACUGUGGGACUUGUGACAUAAUUCCCUAUCCCCUUAGCACUGGGCCUAAUUGUGGAGAUCCCUACUACUUCAAUUUCUACUGCAACAUCUCCACAGGGCAACUUAACUUUCAGG